UUGAAGCUUCAUGGCUCACAGUGGUGCCUCAUAUCUUACUGUCAGCAUUCUAAUUUCUAGUUUUUCUUCAAACCUCAGAGUUAAGCAGAAGUAUAAUUACAGUUUUUAAUCAUUGCUGUGUCUUAUCAACCACGGCUUUUAAGAAAAUGAAAAAUUUUUCGUUUACCUUUCAUUGUGGUGGCUGGCUGUCCAUUCACCUCAUACGGUGUCUUCAAGUUGAAACAGGUUUCUUGUCUCUAAUUAAGAAUAAGCUUUGAAACUAAGGUCGGCAGGGAAGUGGAUUUUCUGGUAAAGCAUGAAAACGAAACAUCUCCCCUACCAGACAAGGAUGAAUCUUCAAGUCAUGAAUGUAACCAGCGCACAAUCCUUCUCUAUGGAGUCGGCAAAGAGCGUGAUGAAGCAAGGCAUCAGCUGAAGAAGAUUACCAAAGAUAUCCUGAAAAUUCUAAAUAAGAAGAGCACCACAGAGACAGGGGUUGGGGACGAAGGACAAAAAGCCAGGAAGAACAAACAGGAGACAUUUCCAACACUGGAGACUGUGUUCACUAAACUCCAGCUCCUUUCAUAUU
rnacentral:lncRNA from 1 species